CAGCAGCCGCGGUAAUACAGAGGGUGCGAGCGUUAAUCGGAUUUACUGGGCGUAAAGCGUGCGUAGGCGGCUUCUUAAGUCGGAUGUGAAAUCCCUGAGCUUAACUUAGGAAUUGCAUUCGAUACUGGGAAGCUAGAGUAUGGGAGAGGAUGGUAGAAUUCCAGGUGUAGCGGUGAAAUGCGUAGAGAUCUGGAGGAAUACCGAUGGCGAAGGCAGCCAUCUGGCCUAAUACUGACGCUGAGGUACGAAAGCAUGGGGAGCAAACAGGAUUAGAGACCCGCGUAGUCCCUGUCUCUUAUAA
rnacentral:rRNA from 1 species